UACGUAGGGUGCGAGCGUUGUCCGGAAUUAUUGGGCGUAAAGAGCUUGUAGGCGGUUUGUCGCGUCUGCUGUGAAAAUCCGGGGCUCAACCCCGGACUUGCAGUGGGUACGGGCAGACUAGAGUUCGGUAGGGGAGACUGGAAUUCCUGGUGUAGCGGUGAAAUGCGCAGAUAUCAGGAGGAACACCGGUGGCGAAGGCGGGUCUCUGGGCCGAUACUGACGCUGAGGAGCGAAAGCGUGGGGAGCAAACAGG
rnacentral:rRNA from 1 species